GGUCCCCUCCAACCUCAAUCAUUCUGUGAAGACAUCCAUUCUGUCUGUGUAUGCAGUUCCCCUUCACACAAGAACCAUGCUGGUGGGUGUUAUGAAGUCUGUGCUGGGAUAGACAUUGCACUGUUCAUUUGGAACUCAUCCCUGCUGUUGAACUGGGGUGUAUAGCUCAUCUCUGCACUCAGUUUUGAGACAGGCAUGCUAUGUUGAUCCUUAGCUCCAUUUUGUCGUGGGAAGGAGACACAGAAACCAUCUGCAACAGGGAAUCUGAAGUUUUUGCUUUGUUACCACCAGCCCCAUUGGAUCAGUUUCAUUUGCUAUAAAUAGGCUAACAAGGCGCUGUUGGCAGAGUAACUGCAGCAGCAUAGGGCUGGUUUGCAUCCCUGGGUGCAAACCUCACUGAAAUGGUGAGGUAUUCGUUCAGACUGCAAAUCCUGCUUGGACUGCCAGGGGAUGCAACAAAGCUUCUGCUCAGUGUGUCUGCAGUGUGGAAGGGUCCCUCAUCAGCUGUGUCCUGAACACCCGUGAGCAUAGCACCUGACUGCUCAUGGGGCUAAUUACUGUCAGGAAAGGGCCACAGUUUGAUGAAUUGCCUUUCAGCAGAACAGGUGAAUAGGGCAGUAUGGUCAAGAGUGUGAGCAACUUACAGCAGGAUUACAAGACUUGGUGAUGGUGACAGCAAGAAUGAGCUCAGUGGCCCAGGAGGUCUCUGCUUACCCUGUGACAUGUCCCUAAUCUUCUGCAGGUAGAAAACCCUAAGUCAGCAGCAGUUCUUAAGCAAGGCUUUGGCUGGUUGGGACAGGUUUUUACUUUGUGCUGCAUGCUCAGGUGCCUCAAUAAGCACACCUUACUUUCAGGUGCGCUUAUUGAGGUCUAGAAAGGCAGCUUUUCCUCUGCUGUGCCUUGCUUGUUACCCAGCUUCCGUCAGGACCACAGACCCUUUGCUUGGGGUAGUGUCAGCUCCCUGAUAACUCUCCUGGCUUUGCCAGUCUUGCUUCAUUUGCUAGGCACUGCCCUCUUAUUGAAGGUCUCUGGGCUAGGCUGAUCCUCCCUGUUGCUCUGCUGAUGGAGGCAAGUGUCUGUACCCCACAAUUUGACACUGCCCUGCAUCCUGAGAGCAUGGGAUCAGCUCUACACUUUCGGUAUCCAAGGUUGAUUUUAACAGCACUGAGCUUGUGUCUGCAAACUGAAGGGACUUUACAGAUGUGAACACACACAGUGGGCUGAUCCUUGUGAUUACAGCUUGAGGUCUGCAAGUUGGUAACUGCAGGGGAGUGAUCUGGCCCUCCUGUCAGGGGAACAUUGAAUCUGCAGUCAAGCAGCAACUACAACAGGGAGCUAACUUUUGGUGAGUGGCUGUAAGGGAGUCAGCUCCUCCCUAGCACAGCAAGCCAUGCUACGCAGUGGUAAGGCAGGUACAGAAAAUGCCUUUGUCUCUGUCCUGCUGCAUCUUGCUCUCAUUUAUGUGUGGGAUUUCACCCCACCUUUGCCCUCAGUACAACCCUAUUUGCUGCUGCUAACUGACUUGAUUAUGGACAGUAGGUAGGAUCUGAUAGCUUUCAAAGAUCUUUUGGAGAGCUGUGGGCUGUGUCCCCAGAUGGGCAGAACCCUUGUCUGGCCUGUUGGCUAAGCCCAAGAAAUCUACCUCCCACUGACAGUUCUCAGGAUGGAUUCAUACCUGAUCCAAGUGAAUGGCCAUGGUGAUCACGCUCCUGUGCUGGAUGUUCAUCUCAGUACCAAUGGGAACAACCUGUUGCUGGGGAAGAUGAAGGGCCGGAAGCCAAGAUGGGCUGUCAGGGCUUCUGAAAUGUCAAAGAAGACUUUCAAUCCUGUCCGAGCCAUCGUAGACAGCAUGAAGGUGGAGCCUAACCCAAAGAAAGCCAUGAUCUCUUUGUCCCUAGGAGACCCAACAGUCUUUGGAAAUCUUCCCACAAAUGAUGAGGUCACCCGGGCUGUAAAGGAGGUUUUGGACUCAGGACGUUACAACGGUUAUGCUCCAUCUGUUGGCUACCAAUCCUGCCGGGAAGCAGUGGCCACAUACUACAGCUGCCCAGAGGCACCUCUGGAGGCCCAGGACGUCAUCCUAACGAGCGGCUGCAGCCAGGCCAUAGAGCUUGCCUUGGCAGUGCUGGCCAAUCCAGGCCAGAACAUCCUAGUGCCACGGCCUGGCUUCUCCCUUUACAAGACUUUGGCACUGUCCAUGGGAAUUGAAGUCAAGCUCUACAACCUCUUGCCAGAGAAGUCCUGGGAAAUUGAUCUGAAGCAUUUGGAGUCUCUGGUGGAUGAGAAGACAGCUUGUCUCAUUGUGAACAACCCAUCCAACCCCUGUGGCUCUGUGUUUAGCAAGGGCCAUCUCCAGAAGAUCUUGGCAGUGGCCUCAAGACAGUGCAUCCCCAUCCUUGCUGAUGAGAUCUAUGGAGACAUGGUGUUUGCAGACUGCAAAUAUGAACCUAUUGCAACUCUUAGCACCAAUGUGCCAAUCUUGUCUUGUGGUGGCUUGGCAAAGCGGUGGCUAGUCCCUGGCUGGCGGAUGGGCUGGAUCCUGAUCCAUGACAGGAGAGACAUCUUUGGUAAUGAGAUCAGAGAUGGCCUUCUAAGACUCAGUCAAAGGAUCUUAGGACCCUGUACAAUUGUCCAAGGAGCACUGGAACAUAUCUUGCACCGAACACCCCCCGAGUUCUACCACAACACCCUCAGCAUCCUUAAGUCCAAUGCUGACCUUUGCUAUGCUGCUUUGUCAGCUAUCCCUGGCCUCCAGCCUGUCCGGCCUGCAGGAGCCAUGUACCUCAUGGUUGAGAUUGAGAUGGAGCAUUUCCCUGAGUUUGAAAACGAUGUGGAGUUCACAGAGCGGCUCAUCUCAGAGCAGUCUGUUUUCUGUCUGCCAGCCACGUGCUUUGAGUACCCAAAUUUCUUCCGUGUGGUGAUCACAGUGCCUGAGGAAAUGAUCUUGGAGGCCUGCAGCCGCAUCCAGGAGUUCUGUGAGAUGCACUACCAGGGUGCUGAGGGGACCCAGGAUAUGGAGUGUGACAAAUAACCACGACGGCCUCCUGCUCCUCCAGGCCAGGUCUUGGUUUAAAAAAAGUAUUGCUGCUCCAGGCAGGGAUACAAGGAAGAGACAGGUACACUCCUUGACCUGCAAAAAUAGAGCUUCUGACAUAAGAAGUACAAGAUGCUUAUAUGGCCAUGUGAAGAUAAGGGAAGGCCUGCAACUGUGUUCAUGCCAUUUAUUGUGCACACCCUCUCACUUUGAAUUCAGGAG